GCGCGGCCCGCGGCCCGCGCCGCCGCCUGUAAUUACGCCUCUCGCUAAUUAGCGGAGCCCCCUGGGGCUGCAGCGGGCUGGGAGGCUGACAUUCAGUGGAAUGGAUGUAAUGCGCAUAUCGCUCUGAACUUCGGCUUCUGGAUCUGAGGAAGGUCCUUUCAUUCACAUUGCUCUCCAGUUAUGAAAGAAACUGUUAUGGCUCAAAUUUGGCAGGCUUCAGAAAAAUUCCAGCAGUUCAAAUGCAUUCAGUUAAUAUGCUGAAUAUUGACUCACUGCUUACUCACAUAAUGAACAUUUAAAUUACCCUUUCUCAUUUUCAAAGCAUGUUAUAAAUAAGAUUUAAUCCUCACAGCCUGAUGAAGUCAGUUGGCAUCAUUUUCCCCUGCUAAUGGAAGAAAAGUUUGUAGGAAAACUAAUAUCUUUUAUUAGAUGUCAUUACUGCUUUCAGAUUUAUUUCAUAGAGGUACUCUUGUAAAUUUGCACUGAGUUAGCUAAUGAAAAAAUAAAAGUACUGAUUGUAAUCCCAGGUGAAUAAGAGCAGAAGAGAAUGCUCUACACUUAGUGACUUUAGGCUCUAGCCAGCUAUAGCUUGUCUGCCCUGGAAAAAAAACAAAGUUUGGAGGGACUUUGCCAAGAUGUAAAGGUAGUUCGUGGACACAGCAGCACAAGGUAGCUUUGACAGUGAGCUAUACUGAUACUGAAGUUAUUUUUUACAAAAUUCUGUGAUGGCAUAUUUCUUGAGAUUACCUAAAGGCUGAGACUGUGUAUUCCAGUUUAGCAAAGAAUAUCUAGAAGUUAUUCACACUGAAAAUCCCAUUUAGCAAAUAUUUUUCAUGCACUGUCACUUGAGGAAAAGUUACAGGGAGAAGCACAAUAAACCUAUCUAACUGAGGACUAGAAAAGGAGAGGGAGAGUUCUGAUGGAGGAUCAGAAGGUGCAAAGAAUAAAAGGAACUGAACUGAAAGAAACUGAACAAGGGAGCAGAUCUCCUCCAGGCCUCUCUUUGGCAACUGGACAGGCACAAAUUCCAAGUUAUCCAGGUUGAUGUGGUGUGCAUUUACUAUUACUUGAUUGCAUUACUUUAAAAAAGGAUAGUUACUUUCUACAGAAUGUGUCAUGUGUAUCCUGAAGCACCUCUGGAUUUGAGGAAACCCCCCUGUGUUACAUAAUCAGAAAAGAGGCAUUUUUGGAACAGAAGCUACUGUUUUGGUUUCAGAAGGGGCACUGGGAUCGUCAUUGUCAAGUAACCGGAUUGAUGAGAGCUGUAGUGCACAAUACUAUGCUCAUGCCCAAGUAGGUACUUAAGUUUGAUACUGAAGGCAAGAAAGAAGACAAAACUCUGUGGAUGAGAGAGAGAGACAAGGAUGAGGGUAGCAGAGCACUCCCCAGACUUGUCUCAUGUGAGCACAAAGUUGUACUGAAGUUUUGCAACAAUUCAACUUGAGUCCCAGUUUGGU